rnacentral:rRNA from 1 species
UGCCGGGACUUUGUGCGCCCGUGCUAGGUUGCGUCCGGCCCCGCUCCUUACCUUGCCUACUGCACCGUUUGUUGCUUCCUGGCGGUGGGACACCGCCGCCAGGAUCCUUCUAAAAGUCUUGUAUAUAAGCAUUGAAAACCCUGAUAUACACUAAAUCGUACAACUUUCAACAAUGGAUCUCUUGGUUCUGGCAUCGAUGAAGAACGCAGCGAAAUGCGAUAAGUAGUGUGAAUUGCAGAAUUCAGUGAAUCAUCGAAUCUUUGAACGCACAUUGCGCCCCUUGGUAUUCCAUGGGGCAUGCCUGUUCGAGCGUCAUCUAAACCCUCAAGCCCCCCGGUGUUGCCUCGCCUAUGGCGUGGGCCCCGCCCGGCUUGGUGUUGGGUGUCUGUCCCCGCCCCCCCGCGCGGACUCGCCCUAAAUGCAUUGGCAGGCGGCCUCCCGGCUCCUCGCGCAGCACAUUGCGCAGUAGGACGCGGAGAGAGGCGCGCGUCCAGCAAGCAACCCCCCAAGUUUGACCUCGGAUCAGGUAGGGAUACCCGCUGAACUUAAGCAUAUCAAUAAGCGGAGGAA